rnacentral:rRNA from 1 species
UACAGAGACUGCAAGCGUUAUUCGGAUUCACUGGGCGUAAAGGGUGCGCAGGCGGCCAAGUGUGUUAGGCGUGAAAGCCUGAGGCUUAACCUCAGAAUUGCACCUAAAACUACAUGGCUAGAGCAUUGGAGAGGGUAGCGGAAUUCACGGUGUAGCAGUGAAAUGCGUAGAUAUCGUGAGGAACACCAGAGGCGAAGGCGGCACUCUGGGUUGUACCUGACGCUGAGGCGCGAAGGCUAGGGGAGCGAACAGG